GGAUGUGAGGGUGAUCUGGCUGCGACAUCUGUCACCCCAUUGAUCGCCACGUCAGGGUUGAUCUGGCUGUCUAGGCGGGUGUCCCCUUCCUCUGUCACUGCUGCAUGUGUGUCCCUCCCGAAGCUGCGCGCUUGGUCGAAGAGGACGACCUUCCUGAAUAGAGGAGGACCGGUCUUUGGUCAAGGGUAUGUGAGUAGCCGUGUUUCCCUGCUAAAACCUCCAAACAAGCUCUCAAGGUCCAGAAAGGUAUAAGUAUUAAAAAAUUGGCUAAUAAAAGGUUAUGGCACCUACUACAAGGUCAGCAUAAAGAAUCAAUUAGAGGUUAGUG
ensembl:misc_RNA 7SK 7SK RNA